AUAACCUACCUGCGGAGGGGGAUAACCCCGGAAAACUGGGGAUAAUACCCCAUAGAUCAGGGAUGCUGGAAUGCCCCCUGGUUCAAAGGUCCGCCGCCACAGGAUGGGUCUGCGGCCGAUUAGGUUGUUGUUGGGGUAACGGCCCAACAAGCCAUUGAUCGGUACGGGUUGUGGGAGCAAGAGCCCGGAGAUGGAUUCUGAGACGCGAAUCCAGGCCCUACGGGGCGCAGCAGGCGCGAAAACUUUACAAUGCGAGAAAUCGUGAUAAGGGAACCCCGAGUGCCCGUAAAUUCGGGCUGUCCGUCAGUGUAAAUAACUGGCGAAGAAAGGGCCGGGCAAGACCGGUGCCAGCCGCCGCGGUAAUACCGGCGGCUCGAGUGGUGGCCGCUAUUACUGGGCUUAAAGCGUCCGUAGCUGGGUUGUUAAGUCUCCUGGGAAAUCCACCGGCUCAACCGAUGGGCGUUCAGGAGAUACUGGCAACCUAGGGACCGGGAGAGGUGAGAAGUACUCCAGGGGUGAGGAGUGAAAUCCUGUAAUCCUUGGGGGACCACCUGUGGCGAAAGGCUUCUCACCAGAACGGCUCCCACAGUGAAGGGACGAAAGCUGGGGGAGCAAACCGGAUUAGAUACCCGGGUAGUCCCAGCUGUAAACGAUGCGCGUUAGGUGUAUCGGUGACCACGAGUCACCGAGGUGCCGAAGAGAAAUCGUGAUACGUGCCGCCUGGGAAGUACGGUCGCAAGGCUGAAACUUA
rnacentral:rRNA from 1 species